rnacentral:misc_RNA from 1 species
GAUGAAGAACGUAGCGAAAUGCGAUAAGUAAUGCGAAUUGCAGAAUUCCAGUGAGUCAUCGAAUCUUUGAACGCACAUUGCGCCCUUUGGUAUUCCGAAGGGCAUGCCUGUUCGAGCGUCAUUAUCACCCCUCAAGCCCUCGGCUUGGUGUUGGACGGUUUGGUGGAGGCCCCCUCGGGGGCUCCUGCCCCUCCCAAAGACAAUGACGGCGGCCUCGUUGGACCCCCGGUACACUGAGUACUUCACGGGACACGUAUCGGACACAUGGGUUUACGGGACACGGUCUGCCUCCCCUCAGGGAGAAUCUUUCUAAGGUUGACCUCGGAUCAGGUAGGGAUACCCGCUGAACUUAAGCAUAUCAAUAAGCGGAGGA